rnacentral:ncRNA from 1 species
AAAGUCCCGUCCGAGGAGUUGUCCGUACGCCUCGGUAGCAUAAGGAAGCGUCGUCGUGGUAACACGGGGUCGUGAGUUUCCACACAGCAAGAGAGCAGGCCGUAACGCAAGUGAACCUAGACGUAGCCUCGUAAAUGAAUUGGAGAAGCCGACCCUGUGGUCAGAAGGGGAAGGCCGUUGGAUGGAUGCUGAAAUAACGGAAGUGGCAUCCAUCGACUUUUGGAUCGGAUAUGG